rnacentral:rRNA from 1 species
UAGUGCACAAUGGGCGCAAGCCUGAUGCAGCGACGCCGCGUGAGUGAAGAAGUAUCUCGGUAUGUAAAGCUAUAUCAGCAGGGAAGAANNAGACGGUACCUGACUAAGAAGCCCCGGCUAACUACGUGCCAGAAGCCGCGGUAAUACGUAGGGGGCAAGCGUUAUCCGGAUUUACUGGGUGUAAAGGGAGCGUAGACGGCGACGCAAGUCUGGAGUGAAAGCCCGGGGCCCAACCCCGGAACUGCUUUGGAAACUGUGCUGCUGGGGUGCAGGAGAGGUAAGUGGAAUUCCUAGUGUAGCGGUGAAAUGCGUAGAUAUUAGGAGGAACACCAGUGGCGAAGGCGGCUUACUGGACUGUAACUGACGUUGAGGCUCGAAAGCGUGGGGAGCAAACA